rnacentral:rRNA from 1 species
GACGAACGCUGGCGGCGUGCUUAACACAUGCAAGUCGAACGAUGAUGCCCAGCUUGCUGGGCGGAUUAGUGGCGAACGGGUGAGUAACACGUGAGUAACCUGCCCUUGACUUCGGGAUAACUCCGGGAAACCGGGGCUAAUACCGGAUAUGAGCCGUCCUCGCAUGGGGGUGGUUGGAAAGUUUUUCGGUCAGGGAUGGGCUCGCGGCCUAUCAGCUUGUUGGUGGGGUGAUGGCCUACCAAGGCGACGACGGGUAGCCGGCCUGAGAGGGCGACCGGCCACACUGGGACUGAGACACGGCCCAGACUCCUACGGGAGGCAGCAGUGGGGAAUAUUGCACAAUGGGCGAAAGCCUGAUGCAGCGACGCCGCGUGAGGGAUGAAGGCCUUCGGGUUGUAAACCUCUUUCAGCAGGGAAGAAGCGCAAGUGACGGUACCUGCAGAAGAAGCGCCGGCUAACUACGUGCCAGCAGCCGCGGUAAUACGUGGGGCGCAAGCGUUGUCCGGAAUUAUUGGGCGUAAAGAGCUCGUAGGCGGUUUGUCGCGUCUGGUGUGAAAACUCGAGGCUCAACCUCGAGCUUGCAUCGGGUACGGGCAGACUAGAGUGCGGUAGGGGAGACUGGAAUUCCUGGUGUAGCGGUGGAAUGCGCAGAUAUCAGGAGGAACACCGAUGGCGAAGGCAGGUCUCUGGGCCGCAACUGACGCUGAGGAGCGAAAGCAUGGGGAGCGAACAGG